AGUAAUCAGUGCAAGCGGAGCUCUUUCCCUGAAUGAAUCCAAGUAACCCCAGUGGUUGCCUUCUGAAAUGAGCGGCAGCCACACAUCUGCACACAGGCUGUCCAGCGUGUAAACUCUGGUUCUAACGUACCAUGUCCAGCCGAGAGAGUCCUGCUGUGGAGUUUUCUACAACAACAGUCAGUUCAGUAGCUGUGCAGGCUGGGGACUCCAAAAUCGUUAUAGCUGUCAUAAAGUGUGGCAAAUGGGUACAACUUCAGUUGGCUGAAUCACAGCCCAAUCUUCUAGAAAUUGGAAGCAAUCAAGAUGAAACCAAAAAACUUCUUCACGAUCAUGAACUUCUUUUGGCCAAACUCAAGGCUUUGGAAGAUCGAGUAUGGGAACUCCUGCAAGAAGCAGACAGGACUGCUGAAGAGAACAAGGAUCAGAGUCAGGUCUAUGAUGCCAUGGCCGAGACGCUGGGUGAAGCAUGGGCAGCCCUGGUAUCCAUGCUUGAGAGGAGGAGGGAACUUCUCAGAUUGACCUCUGAAUUUUUUGAAAAUGCCUUGGAGUUUGCCAUUAAAAUAGACCAAGCAGAAGAUUUCCUCCAGAACACUCAGGAGUUUGAGAGUGCCGAGGCCUUGAAAUCACUCCUUCAACUUCAUGAACAUCAUACCAAAGAACUCUUAGAACGAUCUCUAGCCCUUUUAAACAAAAGUCAAGAACUCACUGACUUCAUAGAAAAAAUCAAGAGUGAUGGACCCAAUGUAAAUGCUGAGAUGAUUCAGGGAGCUCAAAACAGCUGCCUGAAGAUUGACAGUCUUCUUGAACUUCUCCAAGACAGGAGGCGGCAACUAGACAAGUACCUGAAGCAACAGCAGCAGGAACUGAGUCAGGUUCUGCAGAUGUGUCAGUGGGACCAACAGGAAAGUCAGGUCACUUGUUGGUUUCAGAAAACUAUAAGAGAUUUAGAGGAACAAGGUCUAGGUACAUCUCUUUCAGACAAUGAGGAGCUUAUUCGUAAGCACGAGGAACUGAUAAUAAAAGCAAAGGAAUGGAAUGCUGUGAUCGAGACGCUGAAGAGUGAGGCGCUGGAGCUUCUCCUUUCCAAGGAGCAUGUGCAGAGCGAACACCUGCAGCUCUCUAACCAGAAACUGAAUCAGCUUCAAGAGGAGUUUGGUCAUCUUAUGGAGGAAAGGAAAAGCUGGUUAAGAAAGGCAAAUGAGUUUUUUAACAGCGCAAACAAGGCAUUUGAUGCACUUGGAAGAGUUGAAGCUUACCUUAAGCUCCUUAAAUCAGAGGGUUUAAGUCUGCCUGUCUUGGCGGCGAGGCAUGAGGAAUUACACAGAGAAAUUAAAGACUGCACAGCUGAUGCUUUGCAGAAAGGACAAGCCUUGAUCAGCCAACUAGCUUCCUGCAGCUCUCGGCUGACCGGUGUCCGUGAGAUUAUGGGCUGCCUUGGAAGACGGGUAGAACAUUUGACUGAACAGUGUUCGGCGCACAGGGAAUUUGCUCUUAAGAGACAGCAAUUCACAGCCUCGGUGGAGGGCCGCCUAAGAGAGGUUGAAAUGUCCAUUCAGAAAAUCAGCACAAUACUUUCCAAUGCAAUGGAUGUUGGUUCCAGCCUUUCUGAAUCAGAGAAGAUUUUGAGUAAAUAUCUGGAACUAGAUAAACAAGCUAAGGAGACAUCACAUGAAUUAGAAGCAGCUGCAAAACUCUUGACAGAGAAACAUGAUUUUGAACUUGAUGAACUGGCAUCGCUUUCUUCUAAGGCUAAAUGGCUAGAGGAAGAAUUAAACAUAUUUGGCCAAAGCAUCAACUCCAGGUCACAAGUCCUGCAAACUUAUGUGGCAUUUCUAAAGUCAUCAGAGGAGGUAGAGAAGCAAUGUCAGGGCCUAAAGGAGUUUUACCAAACUGAUAUCCUACGAAAGGAGGAGGGCGGUGCUGAAGCCAAGCAUUGGUCUGACUCAGUGGAGAAGCAGUGGCAGCUAUUUUUAAAGAGGAGUUUUUUAACGCAUGACCUUGGGCUCGAGUUCCUUAAUUUAAUAAAUAUGGCAAAAGAAAAUGAAAUAUUAAAUGUGAAAAAUGAAGUACACAUCAUGGAGAACACUAUGGAAAGCCAGAAGGUGGAAAGGGAAGAACUCAGCCGCCUUCGGACGGCCUGGCAACUUAAAGCCGCUGCAAGCAAGCCCGUGAAACAGCAGUGGGCAGCAUUCAAAGAGCAGCUUAGAAAGACCACACACAACUUAAAACUUCUUCAGGAAGCGCUUAUGCCUGUGUCUGCACUUGACCUUGGAGGGAGUCUCCAGACCAUUUUAGGUCUACGGAAAAAAUGGAAUGAAAUGAAGCCUCAGUUCCAGCAACUGAAUGAUGAGGUUCAGUAUAUUAUAAAAGAGUCAGAAGAGUUAAAUGGCAAAGGAGCACCUGUGAAAGAAAAGUCUCAACAGCUGAAGGACCUUAUUCACUUCCAUCAAAACCUGAAACAGAGAAUCCGAGAUUACGAGGACAUCCUAUAUAAGAUUAUCCAGUUCCACCAAGUCAGAGAAGAGCUGGGAAGACUCUUCAAGUCAAGAGAACUGGAGUUUCCAGAACAGGCAAAGGAAAUGAAUGAUGCUCGCAAUGCCCAGGUCCUCCUCAGACGCUCUCGGGCAAAGCAGGCGCACGUAGGCCAUCUUCAUAAACUGGCCCUCUCCUUGGGGGUGGAUGUCAUCUCAUCAGUGCAGCAGCCUAACUGCUCUAACGUUUCUGCAAAGAACCUGCAGGAACAGCUGGACAUGCUUGAAGGGGACUGUCUGACCUGGCGUGCCCAGACCGAGGACCAUGAGCGGGCCCUGACCCGCAGCCUGGAGUUCUGCAUUACAAGGGAUGAGAUAGGCGAGCUCAAAGAAUCAUUCAAGGAAAUAAAAAAGAAAUUCAACAAUUUGAAGUUUAAUUACACUAAGAAAAAUGAAAAAGCUCGAAAUCUAAAAGCUCUCAAAUAUCAAAUUCAACAAGUGGAUAUAUAUGCUGAAAAACUACAGGCUUUGAAAAGGAAAAUGGAAAAAGUUGAGAAUAAAACUUCUUUCUUAAAUUAUCCAAAUAAUAACGUGAAUAUCCUUUUGGAAGCCAUGAGGGAUUUGCAGAAGCAUGUGGAUGAAUUUGACAAAGUUGUAACAGAUUACAGGAAGAAUUUGGACCUGGCCGAGCAUCUCCAGGAGUUGAUAGAAGAGUGUCACUUUUGGUAUGAAGAUGCAAGUGCCACAGUUGUAAGAGUUGGAAAGUAUUCCACAGAGUGCAAGACCAAGGAGGCAGUGGAGAUCCUCCACCAGCAGUUCAAAAAGUUUAUCACACCCUCAGUGCCUCAGCAAGAAGAAAGGAUUCAGGAGAUCAGUGACCUCGCUCAGCGCUUAUACGGUUUUGAAGAAGGGCAGAAAUAUGCUGAGAAAAUAAUGGCCAAACACAAAGAAGUUCUUGAAUCUGUCACUGAAUUAUGUAGCUCUCUCACAGAGCUUGAAGAAAAGCUGAAGGAGCAGGCCCAGCCAGCAGCCACCUUGGCCGUCAAUGGAGCACGAAAGGGUCAGCUUCCACAGGGCGUAAAGCAGCUGGUCCCCAGCAAAGAGAGUGCCCAAGGCCUGCUUCUGCCUGUGGACGUGCUUUCAGGAGAAGAAUAUGAGUGUGUUUCACCCGACGACAUCUCCCUGCCUCCAGUCCCAGGAAGCCCUGAUUCUCUCCUCACUCCGUCUGACAUGGAGCUGGAGGCGCGUGUCAGCCCGUUCCCCUGCCAUCACCUAAGCGGCCACCAGAUGCAGAUGGGGGCCAGCGGUCCAGGAGAGGCCCCGGAAUCUGGCUUUCCUCCACCUGCUGCUUUUGCUGAUGCUUGCAAUAAGAGAGAAACGUUUUCAAGUCAUUUUGAGAAGCCUUCCCCCCAGGUCCAACCUGAGCCCCCAUUAACAUCCCAAGGAUUUCUGGAAAAGAGUACUGCCUUCCACAAAAUCAGUGCUCAACUUCCAGAGAGCAUGUGCAGUGAAGUGCAUGACAGAGCUUCGCAACAGCACCCCCAGGCUCAGGGGCAUUUGCUAGAAACACCAGAGAAAAUGCAUGCUGAUAAUAACGUCACUAAAACCCGAAAUAGGCUGCAUGCUUCCCAGGAUGCAUUCUCAGGCCUCGGGUUUCACCCAGGGCCCAGCCAGGCCUGUCAGAGGCAAAUGGUUCCCCGAGAAGAGAUGAUAAGUACAGCAGCUAAGACCAGCAUGGUCAGCCUAGCUGGCCGGGCCCCUAAUUUCUCCAGGCUCCUGUCUAACGUAACUGUCAUGGAAGGUUCUCCAGUGACUUUGGAAGUCGAAGUAACAGGAUUUCCAGAGCCUACACUGACAUGGUACAAGAAGGGCCAGAAACUGUCUGCAGAUGGGCAUUUGCAGGUUUUACACGAGGAGACAAGACACUUGGUCUUCAUUCCGAAGGCAUGCGAGGCAGACGCAGGCCUCUAUGUGGCGCGGGCCCAAAACCCUAGCGGCAUUCUCUCUUCCAGUGUCAUCCUCCACGUGACAGGUAACUGCAGGCCGCUCAUCACGAGGAUAAACUGGAUCGUGCUGUGUGUCAUCUAUGUUACCGUGUCCCUGAUGUACUGGCUACUCACACAGUAA
rnacentral:lncRNA from 1 species